AAAAUAAAAAAAAAAAACAACCAAAAAAAACUACCGGAAUAGUUCCAGCCCAAGAGGCCCUCUGUCCCCAGCCGACUCCAGGAGCCCUGGUACAAUAAUUAACAUGUGGGCCAGAGGCCCGGACUCAUUGGCACAGGACAGAUUCUCCGAUGAGAAACAGAGAAGCCCCAAAUCCCACUCACACAAAGGGCGUGUUGACACACUAUCUGCUGAGAAGCGCGAGCCUUCCGGGGAGAGCGCAAGGCAGAGGGGAAGCAGAGGGACGGCCGCAGACCAGGGGCACGCCUGCCCCGUUUCGAGCCCCUCCGGCUUUCCCCAGAGUGUUCUCGAAGGUCGGGCGCUCAGGUGGACUUUGGACUGGCUAACUAGCAUUUCCCCAAAGCACCGACGUCACAGAAGCCACAAGAAUCCAGACGGCGUCGUCCCACAUACGGGACAGGGACGGCAUCGGCAUCCUCAGAGCCUCGUCUCCUCUGGAAGGAUUGCUUCCUGCCAGGAAAUCCCUAUCCAAUUUCAGGAAUACUCUGGGGGCCCCUCUCGGGUCUGAUGUCAGACCCUGUGGCACAGGCACACGGGACACUCUGGCUAGCCUAGGUCACGGGCCAAGCCCUGGGGAUGGGCAGCAUACCCUGAGUGCCAUUAGUACGCUGUGGAUCUGGGGGAACGUUCUUGCAAAGAACCAGGAAGAAAUGGGCUGGACAGAACCUCUGGCUCCUGGGCUGCGUCACCAGGGACCGGGGGGCUCUGGGUGGGGAGGAAGCGUGAACGGGGAGCAGAGGAGGAGACGGCUCAGGACAGACGCUGCGACGAUGCUGUGGCAUGGGCAUGGAAUACCGCCCUGUAGGAGGUCUCUCCCCAAAGCCGAAAGGCUCCGGCCUGCGUAUCAAGAGCUGUUUACACAACCGAUCCCAGCGCAGCCUGGCAUUUAGCGGUCACUUGAGAAGAGCCACGUAAUGCCAGAGUGCGAACGGUGGACUGUGCAGAAAAUGAGGGCGUGCAGAGCAUGGAGACAGCCUUCUCGUGCCCCUUCUGCGUCUCCCUCUCCAGGGAAACCUUUAGCAGCCUGGAAGUCCCCUCCCCUGGAGCAAGAAGAUGAACCCGGCGAGAGAGACCAGGCCUUCCUGCAUCGCCAGUUUCGACUGGAAUUUCACAGCUGCAAGAGAACGUGGGGGUCGGGUGGUCGAGCAGCAGCAGCAGCAAAACUAGCCCAGGGGCUAAAUCCCCGCACCUGUAUUUUUGGAAAUAAAUUAUGACUGCAUUCCCACCUCAUCCAUCGGACCACACUUGAACUACAAAGGCCAAAAGAGUUAGCACCUGGCCUUGGAGGAAAACAUUUGCCAACUCCUGGUCCAGCGUGACAGGCUCCCGAUUCCGUCAGGACUGUCCCCUACGACAUUACUCUCGCUCCUGACUCACGCCCGGAUCAAAAGAGACGGUUCGUGGAAAGCCUGGAACAGAGUCUGACGUAUAAUCAAGCCCUCCCUGGUUAGAGCGACAAAGUCCUGGCUUAGCAACAUACGCCUCUUUUCUCUUUUCUCUUCUCCCAGGGGAAUGACCGCGAGGCCUCGGGGUCUACCCCUGUCAGGGGCUGUUAAUGCCUAUAUUUAAAGGU
ensembl:lncRNA